rnacentral:lncRNA from 12 species
UCUAAGUUAUUGUCAUCAAACAUUUACUCUUCUUUCAUUCCACAGGAAAACUGUGAUACAAACAUCAGUGUUUUCAAGUCUUAGUAUCCUGUUAUCAGAAAAGUCCUGCUGCUAGGCAGACACCAGCCUCUGUUGGCAAGAAGUCACGUAACCUCAGUGGGAUUUACUCAUGUGCUGCACCGCUGUCCCAGAUCACCUCAGCUGGAGCAGCAAAGUGUUUGGUCACCUCCCUUUCAAGGGCAGGUGUCAGAGCAGAUUUGGUCCCACAUUUUAGAAGAAGAUACGUACAGUGGCUUGGUAGUAUAGCAGCACAACCUCUGGUGAAGACAGGGACACAAGAGUUUAGGAAAAACUUCCUGGCCAAGAAGAGCUGUGGAAAUUCACUACCAGGUCUGAUUAAAGCACAGGAAGAGGGGUAGGAGUGGCUGAUGUGAAACGGUGACUUUCUUUUCUUACACUUUUCCAUCAGUUAAGUUACUUAGUAAUCUGGAUUGCACCUCCACAUAUUUUUUUUUAUUGCUGUGUGAAUGCUCUUUGCUUACUUUGCUUUUGUUUUAUGUUUUUUCUGAUACUUAGUGAAAGCUCU